UAAUACGUAGGGCGCAAGCGUUGUCCGGAUUUAUUGGGCGUAAAGAGCUCGUAGGUGGUCUGUCGCGUCCGCUGUGAAAACCCGAGGCUCAACCUCGGGCCUGCAGUGGGUACGGGCAGACUAGAGUGCGGUAGGGGAGACUGGAAUUCCUGGUGUAGCGGUGGAAUGCGCAGAUAUCAGGAGGAACACCGAUGGCGAAGGCAGGUCUCUGGGCCGCAACUGACACUGAGGAGCGAAAGCAUGGGGAGCGAACAGG
rnacentral:rRNA from 1 species